UGAACUUAAGCAUAUCAAUAAGCGGAGGAAAAGAAACUAACAAGGAUUCCCCUAGUAACUGCGAGUGAAGCGGGAAAAGCUCAAAUUUAAAAUCUGACGGUUACGCCGUCCGAGUUGUAAUCUGGAGAAGCGUUUUCUGUGUUGGCCCGCGCAUAAAUCUCUUGGAACAGAGUGUCAUAGAGGGUGAGAAUCCCGUCUUUGGCGCGGACUACCAAUGCUAUACGAUACGCUCUCGAAGAGUCGAGUUGUUUGGGAAUGCAGCUCAAAAUGGGUGGUAAAUUCCAUCUAAAGCUAAAUAUUGGCGAGAGACCGAUAGCGAACAAGUACCGUGAGGGAAAGAUGAAAAGCACUUUGGAAAGAGAGUUAAACAGUACGUGAAAUUGUUGAAAGGGAAACGCUUGAAGUCAGUCGCGUCGCCUGGGACUCAGCCUUGCUUCUGCAUGGUGUACUUCCCUUGUGACGGGUCAACAUCGAUUUCGUCCGGUGGACAAAGGCGGAGGGAAGGUGGCACCUUUGUGUGUGUUAUAGCCCUUCGUCGUAUACACUGGCUGGGAUCGAGGACCGCAGCACGCCUUUUUGGCCGGGGUUCGCCCACGUAACGUGCUUAGGAUGUUGGCAUAAUGGCUUUAAGCGACCNGUCUUGAAACACGGACCAAGGAGUCUAACAUGCCUGCGAGUGUUAGGGUGGUAAACCCUUGCGCGUAAUGAAAGUGAAAGUUGGGACCCCUGUCGUGGGGGGCACCGACGCCCGGCCCAGAGCUCUUGUGACGGUGCUGCGGUAGAGCAUGUAUGUUGGGACCCGAAAGAUGGUGAACUAUGCCUGAAUAGGGCGAAGCCAGAGGAAACUCUGGUGGAGGCUCGUAGCGAUUCUGACGUGCAAAUCGAUCGUCAAAUUUGGGUAUAGGGGCGAAAGACUAAUCGAACCAUCUAGUAGCUGGUUCCUGCCGAAGUUUCCCUCAGGAUAGCAGAAACUCAUAUCAGAUUUAUGUGGUAAAGCGAAUGAUUAGAGGCCUUGGGGGCUGAAACAGCCUUAACCUAUUCUCAAACUUUAAAUAUGUAAGAACAAGCCGUCUCUUAGUUGGACCGCUUGGCGAUUGAGAGUUUCUAGUGGGCCAUUUUUUGGUAAGCAGAACUGGCGAUGCGGGAUGAACCGGACGUGAGGUUAAGGUGCCGGAAUA
rnacentral:rRNA from 1 species